GCGGAUAUGGCGGAACUGGCAGACGCGCUAGGUUCAGGUCCUAGUGAUCGCAAGGUCGUGGAGGUUCGAGUCCUCUUAUCCGCACCA
rnacentral:tRNA from 1 species